UCCUCCCAUUAUUUCGGUAUUUUCAACUUCUAAAACGUUUCCGCACUCUGUCUUCUGAACUUCUUCAACGCUUUUUUUUGACUCUUUGGAAGAUGAAUUCAACCGUCAAACGAAGGUUUGGUUUGGCUAUCGGUACGAUCGAUAACCGUUGUAUUCGCUCAAUUAUAUAUAUAACAAGAUGAGUAUUGUGCAUUCAUUCCCUUAAAAUGCUUCUUAUUUGGAUGGUCCUCUGGAGCAUAGAUGGUUUAUUGUUUGGAUGGUUCAGUAAAGUAUGUGCUCCGAUCAUAUGUUAUAUGAAAUAAGAAAAACUUAAUUUGGAGAUGUAAGAGACUAAAGACAUUUUUUCUCCAUGAAUGUUUAAGAAGGCCUAUUUUCUAUGUUCUAAGUACUAGAUUUGAGUAUUCAGAUUUAACUUAGAAUUUCUGCUAUAUAAAGAUAUCAAUUCACAGGCACAUUAAAAUAUCAUAUGUAAUAAGAUAGAGUUCAAUAGUUGUAGAGUGCAUCCUCCAAAGAGGGUUCAAGUUGCUACAAUACUUUGUAAAAAAGUAGUUAUAACUGGCAUGUCCAUUUCAACUAUGUUUUAUUUGUUUAGAGAUAUAUAUGGUCAGCAAACUACCAAAGAACAGGCUACUUAUGGUUUAUUUGCAGGCGAUUCCACUGUUCUUGUCAGAGCUUUCUUUAGAUCUUUCGUGUUUUACAUUUGGUUUCAGGAUCUCUACUCUGUUUGCUUCAAAGGAUCUUUACUAUUUUGGCUUCAAAGUUUGGUAAAGAAUUUUGAAUGCUUUUUUAUGCGUAACUGAAAUAUACUUUUUAGGUAACAUUCUUUGACUUCUAAAAAGCCAUGUCAAUUGCUAGUUAAAUCUGAUGCUCUAUAUCAACUUUGACUUUAUGACUACUAUUUUAUCUAUUUUGUUUGUUUAUGAUUUUCUUAUUAAGUAUCAUCUUGAUCUUGGUAUUUCUUAUUAGUAUAAUGCACAUUAAAAUGCAUGGAACUUCGCGUAGAAUUUCACUCAAUUCCAAGUGUUUUAGAAUUAUCUGAUACUGAUAAACUUUGUUUACAACUUGGUGUUGCGUAAUACAACUUGUUUUCAAGAAUAAAUGCAUGCAAUUUUUGUUCUGUUUUCAAGUAUAAAUGCAUGCAAAUUUUUUUUACUUUGAUAUAUAAGUGACAUUAGAUUUACAAUAAUAUAGGCUUGGUCUUGAUUAUUUGACAUGGUAGGUUAUGUGUUAGUUUUUUAUUGUACUAAUUAUAUUAGUGGCUUUAGAUAUAAAGUUGCUCAACCUUUAUGAUUAUGAUUCAUUGCAAAUGUAAAUGUUCUUAUUAUUCUAAUGUUUGAGAUAAACUUUAUGAUUAUGAUUCAUUGCAAAUUAAAUCGUUCUUAUUAAUCUAAUAUUUGAGAUAACCUUCCAUCAUUCUCUCUUAACAAAUUAUCAUUUUGCCAAAUUUCCCUUGCAUAUAAGGGUAUUAAAACUGAAUGAAUACAAACACAUUUUGUUGUGUUGGAGAAAGGAGAAAAUCUUCUUCUCAUUUGAGAUUUCAGAAGAAAAGAUACCAUAGAGCUCCCAGAAAGAGAUUGUUGGGUACUGUGCACACGUGAUCUUUGCACUCUCUCUCUUCUUCAACAAUGAAGAAAGAGGGGUCUUUCUAAAUAAAACUUAAAUUAGUAGGAAAAGGAUUUUACAUAGUCUUACACUCAAACACAUAAUGAUCUUAAUUAAUUUAUUUGAAAUUAACUUUGAAUAUAAGUUACACAGGAUAAUUUUUGUAUAAAAACAUGAAAAAUCAUGACUUUUAUACCAUAAAAUUAUUAUCAUUCAAAUUCAAAUGUAUCGUCAGGUUUGAUGCAAAGUCAUAAUCUACAAAAUAAGAGCCCAAGCAUAUAAACAACAAAUAGGAAUGAAAUAUUAUUUGAGGUUGUUUUGUCUUCUAGACUUGGGAGGAGAAAAGACGAUAAGUUGUUGUUUUGAUCUAAUUUGGAUCGAAAGAGAAAAUAUGAAACGGUAAAGAGAAGGUGCGUUGAUGCAUUGAUGGUGA